AUUAAGAAUAACUUGUAAUGGUAUUCACAUUACUAAUAAACUUCUAAAUUCAUCUGUUUGGGUAUUCAUUACAUAUUCAUCAACUAAGCAAGUCUUACAUGCGUCCAAAUUUGUUUAAGACAAGAAAAUAUACCAUCUAUGCUUAAUAAACAAACUUCAUCUCUUCUAGUACGCAAAUAAAUACAUUAAAUUUAUUUUACAUUAUAAUAAGAUUCAUCACUUUCUCAAAAUUUUGAAACCGGAAACGGAAUUCAGCAUGUUUUAAUAAAAAGAUGAGCAACCGCGUUCUUACUAAAUACGCAAUUCUGAUAAUUUGGGAAUUGAAUAGUUAGUAAUUUUAAAUUUAAUCAUUAAAACAUACCAAAAAAUGGGCCCGUUCCUUUUAACAUUUUGCUCAGACCAAGUGAAAAAAACCUAAAACGCGCUCAAGAGGAACAACGGACGAGCUACACUCAAAAUAUUAAUGAAUGGGUAGUCAACUAUUUUACUAGCGAACAAGCAAAAGCUUUGAUCCAUGGAUCUCACGUAAUGUAAAAUAGUAUCUUACCCUAAGCAUUAUUUUUUUGAGAAACAGGACGUUCAUUAUUGUUUGCCGCAAAGAAUCCAAGUUCAAGGAAAUUGAAUACAGACCAGAGUUGCUAUUCGUUUGAAUGUACAUUGUGACCACAAGUCGGUUUUUGUUUCCUUCCAAAUAGUACCUUCAACACGAAGUUGUACAUUUAGCACGGACAAAGAAUCGACCAAAAAACCAAAAUUAAAUGUAGAAGGAAAACCUUCAAGUCAUUUUUUUUAUAAUAGCUCUUUUAAGUUCCAUACUUUUUAUCUCCGUAACAAAUGCCAAAAGAAGCUAGUAUAGACGAGAGCAUUCAGCCAACAAAUUUG